AGUAGCCACGGUAAUACAGAGGGUGCGAGCGUUAAUCGGAUUUACUGGGCGUAAAGCGUGCGUAGGCGGCUUCUUAAGUCGGAUGUGAAAUCCCUGAGCUUAACUUAGGAAUUGCAUUCGAUACUGGGAAGCUAGAGUAUGGGAGAGGAUGGUAGAAUUCCAGGUGUAGCGGUGAAAUGCGUAGAGAUCUGGAGGAAUACCGAUGGCGAAGGCAGCCAUCUGGCCUAAUACUGACGCUGAGGUACGAAAGCAUGGGGAGCAAACAGGAUUAGAUACCCCCGUAGUCCCUGUCUCUUAUACC
rnacentral:rRNA from 1 species